rnacentral:misc_RNA from 1 species
AGUCGUAACAAGGUAUCCGUAGGUGAACCUGCGGAUGGAUCAUUAUAGGGUGUUGGGUAAUUGUGAGUGGUUUUAUUAUUAGUAGUUUGAGCGGUGUUGGUUGGGAUGCUUGCAGGAUUGCCAAGCAGGAUUGCCAAGCAGGAUUGCCAAGCAAGACAGCCAACAUUGCCUCACGUUAAACUCUAUAAAUCUAACAAUUACAUACAAAAAAAAACAACUUUUAGCAACGGAUCUCUUGGCUCUC